rnacentral:rRNA from 1 species
AAAUGAGGUCACACCAUGGAAAUGCCUGAUCUCAGAAGCUAAGGAGGGUCAGACCUGCUUGGUCCGUAGAUGAGAGACCGUCUUAGACUAUGAGGUGCUUUAAGUU